GACGAACGCUGGCGGCGUGCUUAACACAUGCAAGUCGAGCGGUAAGGCUCCUUCGGGAGUACACGAGCGGCGAACGGGUGAGUAACACGUGAGUAACCUGCCCUUCUCAUCGGAAUAAGC
rnacentral:rRNA from 1 species